UUCCUGCCCUUUGUACACACCGCCCGUCGCUACUACCGAUUGAAUGAUUUAGUGAGGUCUUCGGACUGGUGCGCGGCAAUGUCUCGGCAUUGCCGAUGUUGCCGGGAAGAUGACCAAACUUGAUCAUUUAGAGGAAGUAAAAGUCGUAACAAGGUUUCCGUAGGUGAACCUGCGGAAGGAUCAUUA
rnacentral:rRNA from 1 species